AAAACUCCAAAAAUUAUUUUUAAUAGAAAAAAUAGUGGUGUCGACCAUCUAGUCCCUAUAAUCCAAAUUUACUGUUCAUUUCAGGUCAUUUGGGUGAAUGUUUUUGUAACAGUCCGUUUUUCAAUAGUGUCGGAAACAGAAAUUUUGAGGCCACCAAAUCCAACGAGUAAGUUAAUAAAAAUUGUUAUUUAAUAUUUUACGAGUCAAAUAUGGUUUUAAAAAGGUUUUCAAUGCGAUUUAUUAAGUUCAAAUGGUAAGACCCUAAGGUCAAGUGGUUUUAGAAAAUGAGGUAUCGGGACCUCAUUUCUAUAAACCAAGCCAUAAAUAUUUUUAUAAAUAUUUACGGAGUGUCAUUAAAAUUCUAUUAAAGUUUCUUUGAAAAAUUUUAAUGUUUCGAUAGUUAAUUAAGUAAAAAGGAUUAAAUCGUAAAAAGUGUAAAAUGUUAUCACUAUUUAAUUAGAGUAAUUAAAUAGAUUAUUAAAUAAAGGUAAAUGGAUUUGAAUGGUAAAUAUACCAUUUUUAAAAGGUGUUGGACGGUUAAUGGGGUUGUUUAGUUAAAAGAAUGAUGAUUCAUUCAUCUUCUUCACCAUUGUUAGUUGAAACAAAAAGGGGGAGAAGCUUCAAGAUUCGGC
rnacentral:lncRNA from 1 species